AGGCACCUGGAGCCUGCGUGAAUUAAAAUUUCAGAUUGGCCUGCAAACAGCUGAUUGCUCUGCUUUUCUUCUGCACCUGUUUCUCUUGCCUUCACAGCCCCAGGAAAUCAACCUAAAGGACCAGCUAGUGCUUUUUGUAUCACUGCCACCAUUUAGUGGGGACAUCUUUACUUCCCAGUGGUCACUGCAAUUUUGUAAAUUUUUAAGAUUCAUUAGAAGUCCACCAUCACCUCAAGUUUGGGUGCCUGAUGACUCUUUCCUUUAUAACCAGAUGUCAGUUAAUUUUAAAUCAUUUUGGAAUUGUUUGCCUUUGCUUUCUCUGUCUGUUUUUUUUUUUUUUUGGUAGAUUGUUACAAAGGUUAGGGGAGCAUUUUCUACAAAGGAAAAGGAGCAAGCGAACAAAGUAAGCUGCUGCCAAGUACACCAUGCAGUGAGAUGGUUGUCACGGAUCUUAGAGCUGGAUGAAACCAGGGUGACAUCAAAGACCAUGAGAUGGAAUCAGACUGCUUUGAACAGGAUGCCUCAGCGGUAUCCAGCUUUGAUGUGGUAAACUGAGGUCCAGGAGAUGACUAGACCCACUGGGAGCAGGAGGACCCUAUGGACACGGGAAAGUCUCAACCCAGCAACGUGGCCAUGGAUCCCAGGGCAAAGAGAAUUCAUUGGCAGGGUACAGCCGCCGUAGAAGAGCCCAGGGAUGGCUGGAAUGUUCUCCUUCGAUCAUGGGAACUGCAGCAUGAAUCUCCGCUCACAGCAUGAGCUGCUGGGCAUAAACUGUUUGGCAUUUUGUGGACUGGUGGUUCAAAUCCUGGCCAGAUUGUUUUGGGACGCAGCCAUAUCUGCUAUGGGUCAACGACACUCCUGAGAGGCCGGAAAGAGCAAGUCUUUUAAGAAUGUAAAAGAACUAGGAAAACAAGAUGUGAGUGACUCAGUGGGCCUCCUGCAGUGUCCUCUCACCUUUAACCACGCCUCCCCAUGUGGAUUCACUGAAAAGAGUCAGCUCAAGGGAGAUGGUGAGCCUUAAAUAAUGCCAUUUCGGCCACUAGUCCCAGUUACAUCCCAGCAGCUUCUAAAGCGAAAGAAAUGCUGGUGGCUGUUGGCAAUGUUCCUCCCACUCCUCCGUCAUCCUGGAAAUAUGAUCUUGGAGGCAAACAGUCUCAUUACUACUAGGAAGACCUGCCUGGCUGCCAUGUACCCCAUGCAUGCAUUUGUGUGUCUAACAUCAACCUUUCCCCAUUAGUACGCUCCACUAGGGCAUGGGGUG
ensembl:lncRNA